rnacentral:rRNA from 1 species
GUUGAGCGCUGAAGGUUGGUACUUGUACCGACUGGAUGAGCAGCGCAUUGGUGAGUAACGCGUGGGGAAUCUGCCUUUGAGCGGGGGACUUCAUUUGGAAACGAAUGCUAAUACCGCAUAAAAACUUUAAACACAAGUUUUAAGUUUGAAAGAUGCAAUUGCAUCACUCAAAGAUGAUCCCGCGUUGUAUUAGCUAGUUGGUGAGGUAAAGGCUCACCAAGGCGAUGAUACAUAGCCGACCUGAGAGGGUGAUCGGCCACAUUGGGACUGAGACACGGCCCAAACUCCUACGGGAGGCAGCAGUAGGGAAUCUUCGGCAAUGGACGAAAGUCUGACCGAGCAACGCCGCGUGAGUGAAGAAGGUUUUCGGAUCGUAAAACUCUGUUGGUAGAGAAGAACGUUGGUGAGAGUGGAAAGCUCAUCAAGUGACGGUAACUACCCAGAAAGGGACGGCUAACUACGUGCCAGCAGCCGCGGUAAUACGUAGGUCCCGAGCGUUGUCCGGAUUUAUUGGGCGUAAAGCGAGCGCAGGUGGUUUAUUAAGUCUGGUGUAAAAGGCAGUGGCUCAACCAUUGUAUGCAUUGGAAACUGGUAGACUUGAGUGCAGGAGAGGAGAGUGGAAUUCCAUGUGUAGCGGUGAAAUGCGUAGAUAUAUGGAGGAACACCGGUGGCGAAAGCGGCUCUCUGGCCUGUAACUGACACUGAGGCUCGAAAGCGUGGGGAGCAAACA